rnacentral:rRNA from 1 species
GAUUUUAAGCUCUAAAAUAUGCACACAUCGCCCGUCGCUCUCGUGCCAAAAUGAGAUAAGUCGUAACAUAGUAGAUGUAUUGGAAAAUGUAUCUAGAAAGUCA